UUUUUCCAAAAAUGUCUCUUGCUCGUUUCGUCACAUGCGGAACACUUUCAGAACAAUUAAAGUAAUUAUAGUUGAUCGCUACAGAUUUAGUUAAUGACUAGAGAGUAGACCCAUUUGCUUCUCUAUUGCAAUUAUGAGUUAAGACCAUUAUGGAAAUGUGGAUUUCAUUUGUUAUUUUCAAGUUGGAAAGUUUGACAACUACAAAUUCCUUUUUAAGAUUUCACCAGCCAGGUGAAGUCUGCGCUUCUUUGUUGCAGUCAUCUAGUGAAAGGUGUGAUUAAAUUGAGCUGUUGCAUGCAGUCUUUGGUGCUGAUGUUGUCCUGGAGUGUGGGAGAGUUCCAUGCUUCAAGUCUUCUGGGAUCAGCCAUAUCUGAGUUGACGCUGGAUCAUGCUGCAUUGUGGUUGCCGAAAUGUUGAACAUCUAGUAGAACUGCAAGAAGAGUCCUUGAAAUGGUUUAUGUUUACGAAGCAGUGAUGUUGCUGUCCAAUAUGGCAUGUUGUUGCCGGUUGUUGCAGCCUAUACUGGUGAAAGAUUUUUUGCAUCGAGUUAUGCUGUUGCUGUUCCUUGGUGCCGGACUGCUGGUGUUGUGCACAAAAGUUACAUCCAGUUUUAAUUGUUAUUUGUGUCUAUUCAGUUAACCGCUUAUAUGUUGAAAAGGAACAGAAAAUUUCCUUAGUGUCGAAUCGCUGCACGGUGUGGUGUUACAUAAGUUACAUCCAGUAUUUUGUUUAAUUGCUAUUUACGUCUAUGAAGUUAACCGUUUAUAUGUUGAGAAUGAAAAAAAAAAUAGUAAUACGGGGAAUUUUUACGUUGAACAAAUAAUAAACAUGCCUACGCGAUCGGGAAACCAGCGAGGAGGAGAUUGGGGGGGUGGGGCAAUUGAUUUUCAUUAACUAGAAGAAGUCGUGGUUUAUUUUAAUUAGGUAGAAAUAAAACCCUUUGUCUAUUACAUGCAUAUACCUACCUAUAUAACCAAUAAACCACAUCUAUUUUUCAAACCCCAUAACUUCCACCAACUACCAUUCCUUAAACCCCUAUGAUUUCCACCAACAUCCAUUCCUUAAACCCCCAUUUCCCCACAAAUGACAAAUAACUGUAAUAUGUAAUUAUUAUGCUGAAUAAAUAAACCAACUAUUUA